GAUGAACGCUGGCGGCGUGCUUAACACAUGCAAGUCGAACGGAAAGGCCCAAGCUUGCUUGGGUACUCGAGUGGCGAACGGGUGAGUAACACGUGGGUGAUCUGCCCUGCACUUCGGGAUAAGCCUGGGAAACUGGGUCUAAUACCGGAUAGGACGAUGGUUUGGAUGCCAUUGUGGAAAGUUUUUUCGGCGUGGGAUGAGCUCGCGGCCUAUCAGCUUGUUGGUGGGGUAAUGGCCUACCAAGGCGUCGACGGGUAGCCGGCCUGAGAGGGUGUACGGCCACAUUGGGACUGAGAUACGGCCCAGACUCCUACGGGAGGCAGCAGUGGGGAAUAUUGCACAAUGGGCGCAAGCCUGAUGCAGCGACGCCGCGUGGGGGAUGACGGCCUUCGGGUUGUAAACUCCUUUCGCUAGGGACGAAGCGUUUUUGUGACGGUACCUGGAGAAGAAGCACCGGCUAACUACGUG
rnacentral:rRNA from 1 species